UACGGGGGGGGCAAGCGUUGUUCGGAAUUACUGGGCGUAAAGGGCUCGUAGGCGGCCAACUAAGUCAUACGUGAAAUCCCUCGGCUUAACCGGGGAACUGCGUCUGAUACUGGAUGGCUUGAGUUCGGGAGAGGGAUGCGGAAUUCCAGGUGUAGCGGUGAAAUGCGUAGAUAUCUGGAGGAACACCGGUGGCGAAGGCGGCAUCCUGGUCCAGCACCGACGUUCAGGCACGAAAGCGUGGGGAGCAAACAGG
rnacentral:rRNA from 1 species